GGAGAAGCUACUAAGAGCUUAUGGUGAAUGCCUUGGCGUCAAGUGCCGAUGAAGGACGUGGGACACUGCGAUAAGCCUCCGGGGAGCCGUGUACAGGCGUUAUAUCCGAGGAUGUCCGAAUAGGGAAACCAACUGUUGCGAACCAACAGUGUCUCUGGCUGAAUAUAUAGGCCAGUUGACGGGAACCUGGGGAACUGAAACAUCUAAGUACCCAGAGGAAAAGAAAUUAUUCCCCCAGUAGUGGCGAGCGAACGGGGAGAAGCCCAAACCGAAUCUGCUUGCAGAGUCGGGGUUGUAGGACCGGCAUAUGGAAGUUACAAAACAAUCAGUUAGCGGAAAGGUGUGGGAAAGCCUGCCAAAGAGGGUAAUAGCCCCGUAUGCGAAAACUGAUCGUCUUCCGCCGUGUUCCUGAGUACUGCCGGGCACGCUAAUCCGGCAGGAAGCUAGGGAGUCCACUCUCUAAGGCUAAAUACACUUGACGACCGAUAGUGAACUAGUACCGUGAGGGAAAGGUGAAAAGUCCCCCUGUUAGGGGAGUGAAAUAGAACCUGAAACCAUAAGCUUACAAGCAGUUGAAGGGCUACGACAAGUUGAGCCCCCUAGAAAUAGGGACGUUCCUUGUUAUGCCUGACAGCGUGCCUCUUGGAGAAUGAGCCUGCGAGUUAAUUUCAGUGGCGAGGUUAAGGGAGUAACACCCGAAGCCGUAGCGAAAGCGAGUCUUAAUAGGGCGUAUAGUCGCUGGAAUUAGGCCCGAAACCGUGUGAGCUACCCAUGGGCAGGGUGAAGCGAGUCUAAACACUCGUGGAGGCCCGAACUCACUAACGUUGCAAAGUUAGGAGAUGACCUGUGGGUAGAGGUGAUAUGCCAAUCGAACACGGAGAUAGCUGGUUCUCCCCGAAAUAGCUUUAGGGCUAGCGUCAUGCGUUUAGUACUGGAGGUACAGCACUGAAUGGGCUAAGGGGCUUACAGCUUACUGAACCCAAUCAAACUCGGAAUGCCAGUACUCCAUAGCAUGGCAGUCGGACUCCGGGAGAUGAGUUUCGGGGUCGAAAGGGAAACAGCCCAGAUCAUCGGCUAAGGUCCUAAAAUCUAUGCUAAGUGGGAAACGAGGUGAGGUUACUUAAACAACCAGGAGGUUGGCUUAGAAGCAGCCACCCUUUAAAAAGUGCGUAACAGCUUACUGGUCUAGUGACUUCGCGCGGAAAACUUAACGGGGCUAAGCAUAGUACCGAAGCCAUGAGUCUCAACGCAAGUUGGGGCAGUAGGGGAGCGUUCUGUCAGCGGUGAAGGUCGAUCGUAAGGGCGACUGGAGCGGACAGAAGUGAGAAUGCAGGCAUGAGUAGCGUACAAACACGUGAGAACCGUGUUCGCCGUAAGUCUAAGGUUUCCGACGCCAGGUCAUUCCGCGUCGGGUUAGUCGAGUCCUUAGCCGAGGCCGAGAGGCGUAGGUGAUGGACAUCCGGUCAACAUUCCGGAACCGCUAGAGAGUGCGAUGGGAGGACGCAACGAGGUAGGCCAGCCCAUUAUUGGAUUUGGGUUCGAUCCAUCUAGGUGUUGAGACUGGUAGGUAAAUCCGCCAGUUGAGCUGAGGUGGGAGCGGGCCGUAAGGCGAAGUGGCUGAGCCUUGUUGCCAAGAAAAGUCUCUAAGCAUAACUUUCUAGUGCUCGUACCGCAAACCGACACUGGUAGACGGGUAGAGUAUACCAAGGCGAACGGGAGAACCCUCGUUAAGGAAUUAGGCAACAUGACCCCGUAACUUCGGGAGAAGGGGUACCCCCUGACGUGUCAAAGCGUCGGAGGGUCGCAGUGAAAUGGCUCUGGUGACUGGUUAACAAAACCACAGGUCUCUGCUAAGCCGUAAGGCGAUGUAUAGGGGCUGACGCGUGCCCAGUGCCGGAAGGUUAAAGGGAGAGGUUAGCGCAAGCGAAGCUUUGAACUGAAGCCCCGGUGAACGGCGGCCGUAACUAUAACGGUCCUAAGGUAGCGAAAUUCCUUGUCGGGUAAGUUCCGACCCGCACGAACCGCGUAACAAUUAGAGCACUGUCUCGACGAGGGACCCGGUGAAAUUGAAAUGGCUGUGAAGAUGCGGCCUACCCGCAGCAGGACAAAAAGACCCCGUGGAGCUUUACUGCAUCUUGGCAUUGUAUUUGGAUAUAAUCUGUGUAGGAUAGGUGGGAGGCUUUGAAGCUGGCGCGCUAGCGUCGGUGGAGUCAACGGUGAAAUACCACCCUGAUUAUGUUUAGAUCCUAACCCCAUUCCGUAAUCCGGAUGGGGGACCGUGCCAGGUGGGCAGUUUGACUGGGGCGGUCGCCUCCUAAAAGGUAACGGAGGCGCCCAAAGGUUCCCUCAGGUGGAAUGGAAACCCACCAUAGAGUGUAAAGGCAUAAGGGAGCUUGACUGUAAGGCCAACGCGCCGAACAGAGACGAAAGUCGGGCUUAGUGAUCCCACAAUACCGAGUGGAAGGGUUGUGGCUUACCGGAUAAAAGCUACCCCGGGGAUAACAGGCUGGUGAGAUCCAAGAGUUCACAUCGACGAUCUCGCUCGGCACCUCGAUGUCGGCUCAUCGCAUCCUGGGGCUGGACAAGGUCCCAAGGGUCGGGCUGUUCGCCCGUUAAAGCGGUACGCGAGCUGGGUUCAGACCGUCGUGAGACAGGUCGGUCUCUAUCCGCUGUGGGCGUAAGGGAUUUGAAGGGAGCUGCUCCUAGUACGAGAGGACCGGAGUGGACAGACCUCUAGUGUGCCAGUUGUUCCGCCAGGAGCAUCGCUGGGUAGCCAUGUCUGGCAGAGAUAACCGCUGAAAGCAUCUAAGUGGGAAACUCGCCCUAAGAUUAGAUCCCUGUAUUCCAGUUAAUGGAGUAAGACCGCAGGUAGACCACCUGCUUAAUAGGCAGCAUGUGUAAGCACAGUAAUGUGUUAAGCUAAGCUGUACUAAUGGUCGAGGGCUUCCUUCU
rnacentral:rRNA from 1 species